GGCUGUGAGUUGGCUUAAUCUCAGCUGGCAACUGUGAGAUGUUCAUACAAUCCCUCACAGUGGUCUCUGGGAUUACGCUAAACAGAGCA
rnacentral:pre_miRNA from 3 species